rnacentral:lncRNA from 1 species
GUUUAUUAGGGGUUUUUUCCCUGCCCUUUUAAAAAGAUGAAAGCCCCUAAAAGCUUUUUUCCGUGCAAGUGAUGGUUGAAGUUAAUGAAGUAAGCAUCUGUUAGGUGAGAGAAGGUCACCCUGGGGUUGGGCACCUCCCCGUGGUGGGACUGGCAUUCACCCAGCGAUUAGUAUGUGAUGACAACACCUUAAAGAUAAUUAGUUGACAAUGAGUUGAGAGCCUGUUAACCCCUUUAACACCUUAUAGUUUAUGAUUAGAAUGAAACACUCCAAGACAAAACAAAAUAGAUGUAGUUUUCCUUGAGUGAUUUACCAUUUUUUCGGUGUUUUCGCGUAUCAUUUUUGUGAUCUUCUGCCAAAGGAGGAAACAGCUGCCAGGAGCCCAGAGCACAAUUCUUCAUCUUCAUCAGUCUGGGCUGAAACGCAGUCCCAGUUUUCUGUGCACUUUCCUCCACUGGCUGUGAGUUUAAGACGCUUUGGGCUGGGGUGGGAGCCCUUGCUGGGGCAGAGCCAUGAGAACUGAGAUGUGGAUUAGUGGCAUUUCUCAAUGGCUGAAAUGUCAAGCUCAAUGGGUUUUUCCAGGUGUUUUUUCACACUGAUGUGAACACAUCCCUGCAAUGCUAAUGGAAGCCACUGGAUUUGACUCACCUGAGUGUUGCAGAUGGGCUUUCCCCAGAAACAAGGAUUACUUGGCAGAACAAGAGAGAAACUUUUGUAAAUGAAGCUGUAAGAAAGGCAGGAUGAGGACACAUGUGAGUGACCCAGAGAACAAGGGCUGGUCUUGCUUUCAUGAGGUUUAGCACAGGACUUCCAUUGAUUUCAGCAGGAACAAGCUUUGUGUUUGGACCAUCAUGGAGCAGAGCCACGGAGCCUGGGACACCUUAAGCAGCUUCUCCCAAGACCUCAGAAGAGACAUCACAGAGCUGAGCUCCCUGAGCUGAACCCAAGUCCCAAGCCAAGCCUGCAUCUUUCCACUUUCCCAGGGCUCCUCACAUUCCGUAUCACAAACCACUUUUUAAAAGUUUAUGAGUUUGCCUUCAAAGACUUUGGAUGCAUCAGGAUUUCAGGUAGGUACAACACACUGGACAAAUGACACCACCAGACUCUCUUUAUCAAUAGAUAAUUGAUAUCAAUUUUCAAGCUGAAAGUCAUCUCUUUAAAUGAGUAUAAGCCUUUUCUUGCUCUAAGGGCAGGGCUUUUAUCUUCCUGCCUUUUGUAUCCACCACUAUUUUUCCAGAUCCAAUAAGAAAAGCCCACCUGAAUCCACUACAGCGUUCAAAAUGAUUGAAUU